rnacentral:rRNA from 1 species
AACGAACGCUGGCGGCAUGCCUAACGCAUGCAAGUCGAACGAGACCUUCGGGUCUAGUGGCGCACGGGUGCGUAACGCGUGGGAAUCUGCCCUUGGGUUCGGGAUAACAGUUGGAAACGACUGCUAAUACCGGAUGAUGUCUUCGGACCAAAGUCUUAUCGCCCAAGGAUGAGCCCGCGUAGGAUUAGCUUGUUAGUGAGGUAAAAACUCACCAAGGCGACGACCCUUAUCUGGUCUCAGAGGAUGAUCAGCCACACUGAGACUGAGACACGGCCCAGACCCCUACGGGAAGCAGCAGUGGGGAAUAUUGGACAAGGGGCGAAAGCCUGAUCCAGCAAUGCCGCGUGAGUGAUGAAGGCCUUAGGGUUGUAAAGCUCUUUUACCCGGGAUGAUAAUGACAGUACCGGGAGAAUAAGCCCCGGCUAACUCCGUGCCAGCAGCCGCCGUAA